UACGACUACAUAUCAGGCAUAUCAAUAAGCGGAGGAAAAGAAACUAACAAGGAUUCCCUUAGUAACGGCGAGUGAAGCGGGAAGAGCUCAAAUUUGAAAUCUUCAAGGUUCUACCUUGACGAAUUGUAGUUUAAAGAAGUGUUUUCUGUUAGAUGAGUAGCAAAAGUUCCUUGGAGUGGGACAUCAUAGAGGGUGAGAAUCCCGUAUUUGGUUAUUCAUUCUAGCUUUGUGAUACACUUUCAAAGAGUCGGAUUGUUUGGGAAUGCAGUCCAAGAUGGGUGGUAAAUUUCAUCUAAAGCUAAAUAUUGGCGAGAGACCGAUAGCGAACAAGUACCGUGAGGAAAGAUGAAAAGAACUUUGAAAAGAGAGUUAAGCAGUACGUGAAAUUGUCAAAAGGGAAGCGUUUGACACCAGUGUUGUUUUUCCGAAAAUCAAUUACGAAUGGCUUGAUUUUGUGUUGUAUUGACCUUAUCAGCUUUCUGCACUUUUUUCGAGUCUUUCUUAAUGCACUUUUCGGUUAACAAGUCAACAUCAAUUUCUUUUGUUGUAAAAGAGUAUUCGGAAGGUGGCUUUCUUUUCGGAGAAAGUGUUUAUAGCCCUAUACUUCUACAAUCGGAGAGAUUGAGGUCUGCAGCGUAGAUCCUUCGGGGUUAGAUACACUUUGUGCUAAGUUGUAGCUUUUCAUAGACAACUUGUUGACUAUGUUUAGUCAUGCGGCUUACUCGCUUAUGCUAUUUUACCUACGCUUAGGAUGUUGAGUAGCGACAUACGCAC
rnacentral:rRNA from 1 species